rnacentral:rRNA from 1 species
UACGGGGGGAGCAAGCGUUGUUCGGAUUUACUGGGCGUAAAGGGCGCGUAGGCGGCCAGCACAAGUCAGUUGUGAAAUCUCCGAGCUUAACUCGGAAAGGUCAACUGAUACUGUGCGGCUAGAGUGCGGAAGGGGCAACUGGAAUUCUUGGUGUAGCGGUGAAAUGCGUAGAUAUCAAGAGGAACACCAGCGGCGAAGGCGGCAUCCUGGACUGGUCCUGACACUCAGGAGCGAAAGCGUGGGGAGCGAUCCGG